AGUGAACGCUGGCGGUAGGCCUAACACAUGCAAGUCGAACGGCAGCACAGUAAGAGCUUGCUCUUACGGGUGGCGAGUGGCGGACGGGUGAGGAAUACAUCGGAAUCUACUUUUUCGUGGGGGAUAACGUAGGGAAACUUACGCUAAUACCGCAUACGACCUACGGGUGAAAGCAGGGGAUCUUCGGACCUUGCGCGAUUGAAUGAGCCGAUGUCGGAUUAGCUAGUUGGCGGGGUAAAUGCCCACCAAGGCGACGAUCCGUAGCUGGUCUGAGAGGAUGAUCAGCCACACUGGAACUGAGAAACGGUCCAGACUCCUACGGGAGGCAGCAGUGGGGAAUAUUGGACAAUGGGCGCAAGCCUGAUCCAGCCAUACCGCGUGGGUGAAGAAGGCCUUCGGGUUGUAAAGCCCUUUUGUUGGGAAAGAAAAGCAGCAGGUUAAUACCCCGCUGUUCUGACGGUACCCAAAGAAUAAGCACCGGCUAACUUCGUG
rnacentral:rRNA from 1 species